rnacentral:rRNA from 1 species
GACGAACGCUGGCGGCGUGCUUAACACAUGCAAGUCGAACGGAAAGGCCCUGCUUUUGUGGGGUGCUCGAGUGGCGAACGGGUGAGUAACACGUGAGUAACCUGCCCUUGACUUUGGGUAACUUCAGGAAACUGGGGCCAAUACCGGAUAGGAGCUCCUGCUGCAUGGGGGGGGUAGGAAAGUUUCGGCGGUUGGGGAUGGACUCGCGGCUUAUCAGCUUGUUGGUGGGGUAGUGGCUUACCAAGGCUUUGACGGGUAGCCGGCCUGAGAGGGUGACCGGCCACAUUGGGACUGAGAUACGGCCCAGACUCCUACGGGAGGCAGCAGUGGGGAAUAUUGCACAAUGGGCGGAAGCCUGAUGCAGCAACGCCGCGUGCGGGAUGACGGCCUUCGGGUUGUAAACCGCUUUCGCCUGUGACGAAGCGUGAGUGACGGUAAUGGGUAAAGAAGCACCGGCUAACUACGUG